UACGUAGGGGGCAAGCGUUGUCCGGAAUCAUUGGGCGUAAAGCGCGUGUAGGCGGCCCGAUAAGUCCGCUGUGAAAGUCCAGGGCUCAACCCUGGGAUGCCGGUGGAUACUGUCGGGCUCGAGUCCGGAAGAGGAGUGUGGAAUUCCUGGUGUAGCGGUGAAAUGCGCAGAUAUCAGGAGGAACACCGAUGGCGAAGGCAGCUCGCUGGGACGGUACUGACGCUGAGACGCGAAAGCGUGGGGAGCAAACAGG
rnacentral:rRNA from 1 species